rnacentral:rRNA from 1 species
AUUGAACGCUGGCGGCAGGCCUAACACAUGCAAGUCGGACGGUAGCACAGAGGAGCUUGCUCCUCGGGUGACGAGUGGCGGACGGGUGAGUAAUGUCUGGGGAUCUGCCCGAUAGAGGGGGAUAACCACUGGAAACGGUGGCUAAUACCGCAUAACGUCGCAAGACCAAAGAGGGGGACCUUCGGGCCUCUCACUGUCGGAUGAACCCAGAUGGGAUUAGCUAGUAGGCGGGGUAACGGCCCACCUAGGCGACGAUCCCUAGCUGGUCUGAGAGGAUGACCAGCCACACUGGAACUGAGACACGGUCCAGACUCCUACGGGAGGCAGCAGUGGGGAAUAUUGCACAAUGGGCGCAAGCCUGAUGCAGCCAUGCCGCGUGUAUGAAGAAGGCCUUCGGGUUGUAAAGUACUUUCAGCGGGGAGGAAGGCGAUGUGGCUAAUAACCGCAUUGAUUGACGUUACCCGCAGAAGAAGCACCGGCUAACUCCGUGCCAGCCGCCGCGGUAA